rnacentral:lncRNA from 1 species
GACCCCGGAAGUGCUUGCUGCGCAGGACCCCUUGAAAAAAAAUGAGGACCCGUCUUUUUUAGGUCACAAGAUUGCGCCAACCCUUACAUGGUCCUUAAAAAAAAAACCUUCUGACACUGCAGUAGUGAAAAUGAAGCGCACGAUGGGCGGAAGCUAGGAAGACAAACAUAAAGAUGAAGUGCUUAAUUCAAGGUCACACAAUGUCGGGGAUGGACCUCCAGAUUUCCUUACUGACCUGCAUUAUCUUGUGGAUACCUGAGUGAAUUCCACACCACCCAUUUUAUAGAUGAAACCACUGAGACAUGGAGCAAUUGACUGAGUAGUCACUGCCCCACCCCUGCCUGGAGCCUCACACAUGACUCGCCUCCUCUCAGUGACCACAGGUUGGUUGAGGGGUUUAACAAGGCUAAGAAGGUGAGACGUGGUCUUGUAACACAGUGGUUAAGAAUGUGACUUUGGAGCCAGCCUGCUAGGGGCUGAAUUCUGACUCAGCCAUUUACUAACUGUGUGACCUUAGGUAAGUCAUUUACCUUCUUUGUCCCUCAGUUUCAUCUCGGUUAAGUAGGGAUAAUGAUAGCACCUAUUUUAUAGGGUUAUUGUGAGGAAUAAAUCCAAGUAAAAUGCUUAGAAUAGUAACUGAAACAUAGCACUCAUUAGGAAUGCUUUAAUUUUCAUUUAUUUGAGUAUUAAAG